rnacentral:rRNA from 1 species
UACAGGAGGCAGCAGUGGGGAAUAUUGCACAAUGGGCGGAAGCCUGAUGCAGCGACGCCGCGUGAGUGAAGAAGUAUUUCGGUAUGUAAAGCUCUAUCAGCAGGGACGAAAGAAGUUGAAAGACACUUCCUGACGGUACCUGACUAAGAAGCCCCGGCUAACUACGUGCCAGCAGCCGCGGUAAUACGUAGGGGGCAAGCGUUAUCCGGAUUUAUUGGGUGUAAGGGGAGCGUAGACGGUUGUGUAAGUCAGAUGUGAAAGCCCAGGGCUCAACCCUGGGACUGCAUUUGAAACUAUGCAACUGGAGUGCAGGAGAGGUAAGUGGAAUUCCUAGUGUAGCGGUGAAAUGCGUAGAUAUUAGGAGGAACACCAGUGGCGAAGGCGGCUUACUGGACUGUAACUGACGUUGAGGCUCGGAAGCGUGGGGAGCAAACAGGAUUAGAUACCCUGGUAGUCCACGCUGUAAACGAUGAAUACUAGGUGUCGGGGCCCAUCCGGGCUUCGGUGCCGUCGCAAACGCAUUAAGUAUUCCACCUGGGGAGUACGUUCGCAAGAAUGAAACUCAAAGGAAUUGACGG